rnacentral:rRNA from 1 species
GACGAACGCUGGCGGCGUGCUUAAUACAUGCAAGUCGAACGGAAAGGCCCUGCUCUUGUGGGUUGCUCGAUUGGCGAACGGGUGAGUAACACGUGAGUAACAUGUCCUUGUCUUUGGGAUAACUUCAGGAAACUGGGGCUAAUAUCGGAUAGGAGCUCCUGCUGCAUGGGGGGGGUAGGAAAGAUUCGGCGGUUGGGGAUGGACUCGCGGCUUAUCCGCUUGUUGGUGGGGUAGUGGCUGACCAAGGCUUCGACGGGUAGCCGGCCUGAGAGGGUGACCGGCCACAUUGGGACUACGAUACGGCCCAGAAGCGUACGGGAGGCAGUAGUGGGGAAUAUUGCGGAAUGAGCGGAAGCCUGAUGCAGCAACGCCGCGUGCGUGAUGACGGGUUUUGGGUUGUGAACAGAUUUGGAAUUUGACGAAGAGUGCGUGACGGUAACGGGUAAGAAAGCACCGGCUAACUACGUG